UUGAUAGAUGAUGAGGGCAAUGAGUCUUAGAGAGGUUAAAUAAUUUGCUAAAGGCCACACAGCCUGUAAAGUGGCAGAAGCUGGGACCAUCCAACUCUAAAGCCCACAUUCUUAGACAUUAGGGGAUAUUGAAUGAAGUGUGUGUAUGUAUGGGGGAAUUUAAGAGAAUAUCAAACCAUUUGUAGAGUUCUACCCAAUAUAGAGACCUUAUCUAAUGUAAGAGAACUCUGAAGACAUCUCAUUGAUUGAAUGCUCUCCCCUUCAUAGCAACUUCUUCUGCGGCUUCCUUGCCUGGUGCUCCAGUCUUUGAGGGAAGCACGGCUGGCACGUUCUUCCGUUUGGAGACAUGGUUGACAAUUUCUCCAUAAUGGGGACACAACUGGCAAUUUUCCUACAGAGUGAGGCAGAUGGCAAUUUUCCUUCAGAGACAUGCAGGCAACAGUUUUGCCCCUGGAGAGAAAAGCCUCGCCGAUUGAGAUGCAGCCAGUAAUUUUUACUAUACAGAAGACACAUCCAAUAAUUUUGCCCAGUGAGAGAAACGGCCAACAAUUUUCCCACAGAGGACAGGAAAAACAGACCAAAAAUUCAUAGUGGGGAGAAGUGAGGAGCAAAUGGGCUGGUAUGACCAAGAAAGACUUAAUAAGAAGCUGAGCCUUAAAUGAUCAAGAAGCACUGGAUAGAUAAGAGGAAUAAUCAUUUAUUAGCCAAGCGGGACUGGUGCCUUUUUGAGAACUGUCAUUCUGGAAAGAUAUUGAUUGAAGGAGGCCUCUGAGCACAUUCUCUCCAGCAGGCAGCCGUAAGGGAGGCGGCUGCAGUCCAGACAAGAUGAUGAGUUGGCAGUGAGCAUCUCGACAGGAGCCUAAUGAAGAAAUCUGGUAGCUUUGUGCAGUUACUCCAAGAGAAGCCCGAACUCCCUGGGGAGCCUCUGCCCAGGUGGAAGAGCUCUCGAGUGGCUAUUAUUAGGGGUGAUUGCUGGGAAGCUGGUUGCCAUGGCACCGCAGAGGCCAGUGCUGAACUCCCAAGCUGCCCCGUUUCCAAGGCUGUCUACAUAAUCACUGCAAUGAGAGGCACAGGCACAGAAAGGGAGAGAGGAGCAGCUCCCCACUGACAGUGAUCUCCCUGCAGAGCAAGGUUCCUGGAGUUUGCAAACAUCGAGUAGUGAUAGUCUUCCAUCUGCCAGGCACUGCGCUAAACUCUUUAUGGAGACAAAGAAAUGAUGCUCAGAGAGUCAUUUGCCCUUGGUCACAGGCUAAGAAGAGGCAGAGCUAGGACGUAAACCCAACUCUGGCUCUAUGGCAUCUCAUAUAGCAUCAUUUUUCCUCCAGUCCUCUGACUAGAAAGGGUGGCCCCUUCAACCUGGUGCUGAGAACAGACACUGGCGGCCCCACACCUCUGAAGGCAUGGUUCCAGCAAAUAGAAAUUGGACUGGCAAGGAUUAAACCGCUGGUUUGGGCUUCAUUAGCUAUGUGAUCUCACCAACCACAGAGAAUUAACCAGAGUGGAGCCAUCUCUUUACAGACUUAACACAAUGUACCGAGGCAAUGUGGAGAACAGUCACUGAAUUUAUUGAGCACCUACUACCUGCUCCAGACAUGCCAUUAACACGUGGGCUAUCCUUCCCUUCCACAGUCACUCUAGAACUUGAGGCCACUGUCCUCUGAUGCAGAGAGAAGAAACAUUUUAUAAUCACUGUAGACAAUAAAGGCUUUAUCUGUUAGCAA
rnacentral:lncRNA from 1 species